rnacentral:misc_RNA from 1 species
GAAAUGCGAUAAGUAAUGUGAAUUGCAGAAUUCAGUGAAUCAUCGAAUCUUUGAACGCACAUUGCGCCCCCUGGUAUUCCGGGGGGCAUGCCUGUUCGAGCGUCAUUUCACCGCUCAAGCCUCGCUUGGUAUUGGGCAACGCGGUCCGCCGCGUGCCUCAAAUCGACCGGCUGGGUCUUCUGUCCCCUAAGCGUUGUGGAAACUAUUCGCUAAAGGGUGUUCGGAGGCUACGCCGUAAAACAACCCCAUUUCUAAGGUUGACCUCGGAUCAGGUAGGGAUACCCGCUGAACUUAAGC